UAUUUACUCAAGACUGCUGGGUUUA
rnacentral:piRNA from 1 species